GCGAAGCGCAGAGCGUUUCGAGUGAUCCUACUUUCUUAACUAAUCUUUCCGUUUCUGAUUCUUGAUUUGUUCUUCUUCUUUUUGGUUUCUAGGAGUAAACCGACUCUGCAAGAGGGUCACAUGGAAGAAGUUCUCCAAGCAUGGUGUAUGGAUGACAGUGAGGAAGACCAGAGGCAAACUUGCAGGUUGUGUGAUUUGAUGGCAGUGGUCCAAGGCACAAUCACAGUAAUGUGUUCACUCUAUAAGUGCUUGCAAGGUCGGGAAACAACAGAUUAUGCUUGUUUCAUUUUGGACAGCUUGGAAGAUGAUUGAUUGAAAGAAUGGGAUCUUUCUUGGAGUCCUAUAGCUUUCACACAUAGAUGCAAAGUGCUGUUGUCCAUAGAAUUCAGGUGAGUCUCCAAGGAAACACAUUACUAUUUAGCUUUGUUUGCCUAAGAAUUAAUUCUCGUUGUUCUGCUGUGUAUCCCAUGAGGCUGCAGCCCAUAUUGUUGGUUCAUGGUAUAGUUCUUUUGUCUCUGCUGUCAAAUUUCAUAUAUGUUGAAGGUAAAUCCAUUUAAAAUCUCUCAUAGUGAUGCAGAAAUUGAGGCUCUGUUUAACAGGCAGGCUAUGGAGAGAAGAGAAGGGAUUGUAAAAAGAUGAGAAGAUGGAGGGAGAAGCGAAGAGGACAAAAAGGCUGCAGUGAUGGCUCAUUCAGUGAAUGUGUCUUGAAGAAAUAAAAUCAUUCAUUGCCUCUCAGGACAAACGGAUUUAUGCAAACACACCAUCAUUCUGAAAGUUUAUUCAGUUUUUGACAGGACUGGUAGGAGC